UACGUAGGGUGCGAGCGUUGCCCGGAUUUAUUGGGCGUAAAGGGCGCGUAGGCGGUCACGCACGUCCGUUGUGAAAUCGCUCGGCUCAACUGGGCGGGGUCAGCGGAUACGGCGUGGCUGGAGCAAGCUAGGGGGCAAUGGAAUUCCCGGUGUAGUGGUGGAAUGCGUAGAUAUCGGGAGGAACACCAGUGGCGAAGGCGGUUGCCUGGAGCUUUGCUGACGCUGAUGCGCGAAAGCGCGGGGAGCGAUCCGG
rnacentral:rRNA from 1 species